GGGCAGCUGGAAGAAGUUGUAGGUGAAAGAACCCAACUGGUUAUUUCUCUAUAAAUGAGUGGAGUUCAGUGAGCUCAGUCAUGCUGCAGGGGCAGCUGGAAGAAGUUGUAGGUGAAAGAACCCAACUGGUUAUUUCUGUAUAAAUGAGUGGAGUUCAGUGAGCUCAGUCAAGCUGCAGGGGCAGCUGGAAGUUGUAGGUGAAAGAACCCAUCUGGUUAUUUCUAUCCUUCUAACAGUGCUGAGAACCAAGUAGCAAAGUCAUUUGAGCUGUUGGAUGUGAAGUGCCUGUACCUGCAGACAGAGAAAGUCAUGAGGAGUAAGAAUCAUCAUCUCAUUUUAUCAGUUGAUACUUUCAGCCCUUUCAGAGUUUGGGCCAUGCCAGGGUGUGUUUGUCACUCGACCUCAUCUUGAACUCGUUCCAUGUGCCCACGACAGGCAGCCAAGUGUUCAGUUCACUGUGUAGCAGUACAUUCAGAAGAAUCAAAGUAUAAUAUUGCUUAAAACUCUUGCUGUUCAUUCUACUUAAACUCCUGAACACCCAGAAGCAGAUAAUUUGGGUGUAGAGAUAAGUAAAUAACAUUUCACCCUGUGUAAUGAAUUUGCUGUAAGGCUCCGGUGCUGUAGCUCACAACACCUUUGUCCCCCUUUGCCAAAAGCUGUCAUCACCAAGGGACAUUGGCCAGGCAGUGGGACUGGAUUAAUAAUUGCAUCACAGAGCUGCAGAGGCUGUUUGGAAAGGCACUGCACAAUGAAAGGCCAACUCAGCAGCCAAAUGUGGGGGAAGGAGCCUUGCAGCACUCCUGAAAUAGCACCUGUGAGCUCUCUCUUUGGUGCCUGUGCUUGCCAAAGCCACUGCAGAAAAUUCUUCCUCCUCCUAGAAAGUCCCAUCCUGCCUAAUUAAUGCAAAGUGAGUCUUCUGAAAGCUUCAGCUUGGGAUGGACGCUGGAACUGCUGUGUUCUGCUUGGAGAUCCCAGAGGAGUGUGUGGAUAAUGAGCUCUUCUUUACAAGAAAAGUGCUGAGUUGGUGCAUGUUGAUAAAAGUCACUUGAGCUGUCUAAAAGAUCUGAUUUUUAAAUGAGUUUCUUAAUAAAAAGUGAAUUUAGCCAGAG